GCAGAUCUUGGUGGUAGUAGCAAAAAUUCAAGCGAGAAUCUUGAGGACUGGAGUGGAGAAGGUUUCCAUGCAAACUGUGUUUGAGCAUGGGUGAGUCGAUCCUAAGAGAAUGGGUAAUUCCGUUAGAGUUGUGCUUCGGGCAUAUUCCAUCGAAAGGGAAACGGGUUAAUAUUCCCGUACCAUGAUGCGGAGUUUAAGCGGCAACGCAAACGAUCUUGGGGACAUCGGCAUGGACACUGGAGAGAGUACUCUUUUCUAAUUAACAGCACCAUCUACCAUGGAAUCGGGUUGUCUGGAGAAAUGGUGAUGCGUCUGGAAGAGCGGUACCUUCGCGUAUCGUCUGGUUAGUUCAUAACGAUCCUUGAAAACCCGAGGGAGGAUUUUGACUCUCGCGCACGGUCGUACCCAGAACCGCAUCAGGUCUCCAAGGUGAAUAGCCUCUGGUCGAUAGAAUAA
rnacentral:rRNA from 1 species